UACGUAGGGGGCGAGCGUUGUCCGGAGUUACUGGGCGUAAAGGGCAUGCAGGCGGUGGCGCGCGUUUUGUGUGACAGCGGGUGGCUUAACUACCCGAGCAUGCGAAAGACGGCGGCACUUGAGAGCUCGAGAGGGACACGGAAUUCCGGGUGGAGUGGUGAAAUGCGUAGAGAUCCGGAGGAACACCGAAGGCGAAGGCAGUGUCCUGGCGAGCGACUGACGCUGAGGUGCGAAA
rnacentral:rRNA from 1 species